rnacentral:lncRNA from 1 species
AACAGUUGCUAGAUGAAGUAUACGAAGAACUACGUUGUGAAUCCGAUCAAUACCCAGUAUUGCUCAGUGAACCAGUUGUAAAUCCGAAAUCUAGCCGUGAGGAAAUGGUACAAGUGCUUUUUGAGACAUUCCAUGUUCCUGCUGCGUAUUCCUGUGCUCAAGCUAGUCUCUCGUUGUUUGCUACUGGACGAACGACCGGUAUGAUGCUUUCCUUGUUUUCUUUAGUUUACGAGGUCAAUUUUUGUCAGCCUGCUUUUCAUUUAAAUAGUCGGCGACACUCGCGAAUAGUCGCCGAUUUCUAUUUCACGAUCGCCGGCGAGCAUCGCAGGCAGGCGAUGUUUAUUGUCGUAGUUCGUCGACGGGGUUUUUUUCCGGCCGUGUUGUUUUUUCAUGAUUUUGUUAGAAUUUUAAGCGUGUAGAGAAGGUGGUAUCGAGAUAAAAGUUCUACGACUGUCGCCGACAGCUCUCGCGAACUGUGUUUUCGUUUGUUUUUGAUCGAGUAUCGGUGACUUCCGCAAAAACAUUGUUUGAUUUAAUACACCCUUUCGAUAUGGGAGCCUCGCUCUCAUGAAUCGUAAGCCAAUCACCUUGCGUAAUUUACGGAUGAGAGCGAGGCUCCAAGACCAAAAAGUGUGUGACGUUAUUAUCGAAAGGGUGUAUUAUUACGUGUCGCCGACUAAUGAAAACAAGUAUCUAAGGGCCUUAGUCCAUGGGGGACUAAAGCAUGGUUCACACUAAACAUUUUGUCGGCGAUUUUGUGUUUCUGACGGAUGCAAAUGAGUGAACUCGCACACAAAAGUAUAGAGUCGCUUUUUGCAUGUCGUUCAAUCGAUCACAUUUGCCAGCAGGAGAAAAAUCGCCGACAGAAUUGCCACUGUGAACCAAGCUUAAGUGCAAGGUUGCCCCCAACACUGGAGCAAUGAUGAGAUGACCCUCACUUCCAGGAAGAACAGUUUAUAACUGAAGGUAAAGUAUAAAUAAAGUUAGCUUAACUUUCCUUUUUUGUCCUGAAAAAAUUAAGUAAGAAAAGGUUAUGAAAGGUUGUUUUGUCAUCAAUGUGACAUAUUAUGGGUUAAGUGAUAUGGUUACAUUACUCAUGAAUUAUUACAUUAAUGCUUUUGAUGUAUUUUCUCCUUAUAUCUUAUUUAGGACUGGUUUAUGAUUGUGGCUACAGCAAGGCUCACUCGGUCCCAGUCUACGAAGGUUAUGCACUACCUCACGCCACCACGACAACUGAACUUGCAGGUCAUGAACUAACUACGUGUCUAUCACGCAUGCUCAGAGAUCGUGGUGUUACCAUGGAAACCCAAGCCGAGCUGGACAUUGUGCAGGACAUUAAAGAGAAGUUGUGUUAUAUCGUAGUGGACUACGAUAGUGAAAAAAGGGCGUAUAAUAUCGGGAAGAGGAAUGACACCACUUACACU